GGCUCAGUGGUCUAGGGGUAUGAUUCGCGCUUCGGGUGCGCGAGGUCCCGGGUUCAAUUCCCGGCUGAGCCC
rnacentral:tRNA from 1 species